ensembl:lncRNA
UAAAAGUGUCUUCCAUACAACGGGUAUAAUGGGUACCCGAAGCGAAAGUGUUUUUCGUAUGCGGAAUCCGGGAAAAUCAUGAAUAUUAAUGAGGGCAUAGACGGAGAUUAUCCUAUCACGUUGGUUAAAUCCCUGAUCCAAUCUGAAAAGGCCAAAAUCGGUCACAUGACUGCACCGUCGGCGCGAUCCAUUAAAGAAGGGUGCGAUCGACCGAUCGCAUAGAAGAGGACAGCUGUGACACAGAGGACAUAGCAGAUGUGUGAUCACGCAAUUGUCCAGGACAACCUGUCCAAUUAUCCAGUGCUGAAGAACCUUUUGCCAGAGGACUACAGCUAUCACGUGUGCUCCUUUGAGUCACAGGGGGACCAAAACAAUUUCAGGACUAACCUGAAGUUAAGGUUGACCCGGGAGGAGGAGGUGCAGAAGUGGCAGGAGGAUUUCCAGGCGUCCUCAGGCUUAACGUGGCGAAAGUCAAAGACCUAUCCAGAUGCUGGUGAUGGCUCUAACAAGUACAGGGUUGACUUGAGGUGCCACCACAACACCCGCACCAGUACUGCCAAGACUAGCAAAAACACCUCCUGCCCUGCAUUUAUGUACCUGAUUCUGAAAAGACAGACGUAUAGUAAAGGGCGGAAGUCAAGGUCUGAAGACCCCCACAUCAAGGAGGGGUACUACUUCCAUGUUGUUGUGAAAAACAGCCACAACCACUGUGUGCCCUUUGCGGCAGUCUCGGCUAAGAGAGAUGUCUCAAAAGAGACCGAAGGAAAAACUGAAGAAACUCUUUGAAAGUGGCCGGUUGCCAGGAAUCUCAUGUGGAGGGGAUGCCCAAACUGAGUUCUGUGAGGACUUUCCUCCAGAUGACACAUGAGUCAAUAUCACUAUGAAGUGCCUUUGGUGUCCUCAUCAGACUCACUCAGUCAUCAUGAAAAUGUAGCAGAAUAAUGAAAGUUUGAGGUCUUAUUAUAAGUGGCCAAACAUUUGCACACAUAUCAGUACAAUGAUAAGUCUCUUAAAAUGUGUUUCCUUCAUUUUACACAUAUUUUUUUCAUUUGAUGUACUUGAUUUUGGCAUGUCCCACACACUGCUCUGCUAACUACAAUGUGUGUAAUAAGUGGUUAAAUGAUACUAAAUAAAAAAAGAAUUUACAUGGUUUUAUUGUCCACGAUAAGUUAUUUGAUAAAACAAGUAAUUUUGAUCAUGUAUAUUCUAUUUUCAUAAUCAUAUUGAACAUUUUGCAUGUGUCCCUGAGAAUUGCUGUCCACCCUGUCAUUAUGGGGUAACUGACCCUUUAAGAAACCCUCUGAUGUUUUCAAUGACAUCACUACAAGCAUUUUGUCUUUCUUCAAUGGAGGCUGAAGCAGUGGCUAAUUGCAGAGCAACGGCGUCAAGGGGAAAGCAUUCGAAGGAGUGCGAAGAGAAAUCUUUUAAAUUCGGCGCACUAUGCAGGCACAUCUGUACUUGAGGACGAGCUGGCACGUGUUUUCAAGUCACUCACACUCAAGCUGAGAGGUGACCCCAACUUCAUAGACCCUCUGACAUCAUUCAUCGCGUCCUAUGACAAAAUGACCACGGACAGUGCACUACGAUCAGCCUUUUCA